rnacentral:rRNA from 1 species
GACGAACGCUGGCGGCGUGCUUAACACAUGCAAGUCGAACGGAAAGGCCUCAGCUUGCUGGGGUACUCGAGUGGCGAACGGGUGAGUAACACGUGGGUGAUCUGCCUUGCACUCUGGGAUAAGCUUGGGAAACUGGGUCUAAUACCGGAUAUGAACUGCCUUUAGUGUGGUGGUUGGAAAGUUUUUUCGGUGCAAGAUGAGCUCGCGGCCUAUCAGCUUGUUGGUGGGGUAAUGGCCUACCAAGGCGUCGACGGGUAGCCGGCCUGAGAGGGUGUACGGCCACAUUGGGACUGAGAUACGGCCCAGACUCCUACGGGAGGCAGCAGUGGGGAAUAUUGCACAAUGGGCGGAAGCCUGAUGCAGCGACGCCGCGUGGGGGAUGACGGCCUUCGGGUUGUAAACUCCUUUCGACAGGGACGAAGCUUUUUGUGACGGUACCUGUAUAAGAAGCACCGGCUAACUACGUG